rnacentral:rRNA from 1 species
AACGGAAAGGCCCUGCUUGCAGGGUACUCGAGUGGCGAACGGGUGAGUAACACGUGGGUGAUCUGCCCUGCACUUCGGGAUAAGCUUGGGAAACUGGGUCUAAUACCGGAUAGGAGCCAUCUUUAGUGUGGUGGUUGGAAAGUUUUUUCGGUGUAGGAUGAGCUCGCGGCCUAUCAGCUUGUUGGUGGGGUAAUGGCCUACCAAGGCGGCGACGGGUAGCCGGCCUGAGAGGGUGUACGGCCACAUUGGGACUGAGAUACGGCCCAGACUCCUACGGGAGGCAGCAGUGGGGAAUAUUGCACAAUGGGCGCAAGCCUGAUGCAGCGACGCCGCGUGGGGGAUGAAGGCCUUCGGGUUGUAAACUCCUUUCGCUAGGGACGAAGCUCUUUUGUGACGGUACCUAGAUAAGAAGCACCGGCUAACUACGUGCCAGCAGCCGCGGUAAUACGUAGGGUGCGAGCGUUGUCCGGAAUUACUGGGCGUAAAGGGCUCGUAGGUGGUUUGUCGCGUCGUCUGUGAAAUUCUGGGGCUUAACUCCGGGCGUGCAGGCGAUACGGGCAUAACUUGAGUGCUGUAGGGGUAACUGGAAUUCCUGGUGUAGCGGUGAAAUGCGCAGAUAUCAGGAGGAACACCGAUGGCGAAGGCAGGUUACUGGGCAGUUACUGACGCUGAGGAGCGAAAGCAUGGGUAGCGAACAGGAUUAGAUACCCUGGU